CGACCGGCGCACGGGUGAGUAACGCGUAUGCAACUUACCUAUCAGAGGGGGAUAACCCGGCGAAAGUCGGACUAAUACCGCAUGAAGCAGGGGCCCCGCAUGGGGAUAUUUGCUAAAGAUUCAUCGCUGAUAGAUAGGCAUGCGUUCCAUUAGGCAGUUGGCGGGGUAACGGCCCACCAAACCGACGAUGGAUAGGGGUUCUGAGAGGAAGGUCCCCCACAUUGGUACUGAGACACGGACCAAACUCCUACGGAAGGCAGCAG
rnacentral:rRNA from 1 species